AAUUGUGUGUGUUGAAGAUUAGGAAAAAGAUAGUGGUUAUUUUUUCCUAAAUAACUUUCUUCUCCACCCCACCCCACCUCCCACUCUUUUCUGAAGUUGCUGGCAUUUGGGUCAAGGUUUUAUUAAAGCUACAUUUUAUAACACUGGCACAAAAAAAAAAAAGUAGUUUUAAGCUUGUUUGCACAGUUCUUUUUUUUCCAUUGGAAAUGGAAUUCAUUGCCUUAGGUCUUUUUAAAUAGUGUAUUAUUAUCGUUGGGGCUGGCUCUAUGCUUGAAAACCAGUUUAUUUAUAACCUGUUAUAAGUGCUAUAUUCUGUUUGCAGUUAGGAAAUGCAGAAUUCAAAGUGAUCUCCUAGCUUGUAAGCAAACUGAGAUGCACUAUCCCUUUUCUAUAAAAAAUGAGUUAAUGUGUCAAGAAACCAACUCUAGUAAAGUGAGGUUUAAUAUUUCCCUUUCCUAUGUGUUUUAUCUAAUUAUUUUGGUUGUUAAUAUGGUGAUAAAUAAAAGUCAAGGUAAAUUUAAAUAUUAAGAUUUCUGAUUUAUUGAGCUUGAAUUAUGUCACCAUACUUCCACUUAUGUAAAAAUGAACGUGGCACCAUGGUGAAACUUAACGAGAAGUAGUUUCUCAGUUGUAAAAAUUUUGAUUUAUUCUCUUUCGUGUGACCUCCUUCCCUGUUGUCUUGAACCAUAGCAAAAGGAUACUGCAUCUCUCAUUACUGUAGUGUUGAGGGUAUUGAAAUUAUAUAAAAACACAUCUCAGUCUCUGUUUCUUGGAAAGGUAUCUGUUAAGUCCUGCUAGCUGACUUAUAAGACUAAGCAGGAAAAAUAAAGAUAAAUGUGUUUCAUGUUUUGCACACAAAUGCAGGAUUUGUAUAAUCACAUGACUUCAUAGUUGUGAUUUCAAAAAAGAAGGAAUUUCUCCUUUAUCUUUUCUUGCAGUUAAUGUAAGAAUACUCUAAAUCUCUAAGCUUCUGAAGUGUUAGAGGUAGAGAUGGUCUAGUAAAGGUGUAGUAGUAAUGUUUUAUCCACUUAGCAUGUGUUUAUUUUUCCUUAUGUACUACUCAAAGGUGACUUAUUUGUUCAGCUCAGUGAUAUUCCAUCUAAAAAUCAUUCAUUAGCAAAAGGAGAAGCAAUCUCAACGUAACAAAGAAAUCAGAAGUGUUUCUUAUUAUUUCGUGUUGAGUUGAAUAUUUGACCCUAACACUUUUCUACAUACAAAAUACAAGUAUCUUGAAGGUUCUUCAUAAUUGCACUAUAGAGGAAUUUAGUAUGUCAUAAGUACUUUUUAAAGAUUUGGCAUUCAACUGUAAUAUCUAUAUGUUGGUUAAUUUUCUUAUGAGCCCCAUGAUGGAAAAACUUAAAGAUGAAUUUGAGAAAAAUUGAAACAAAUUAGCUUAUCAGGUUCUGUUAAAUUGUUACAUGUAUCUUGCUUAAAUUUAUUUCAUUAAUUUGUAUUCACCCAAUUACAUAAAGCAAAUUUGGAGGAAACAGC